CCAACACCACGGCUUUAGACAGCUGCAAGAACAGCUCUGUCCUGGGACGUAAAAAUCCAAGAAUUUCCAGGAUGUGAGGUGAGGAGAAGGUCAGAGGGGAGACUUGAAUCAGACCUGCGUCCUUACACUGUCCCUCUUCUAGAUGUGAGAUUGGUUGCACCAGUUUCCAUCCUCUCCAAUAGUGCAAGAGGG